rnacentral:rRNA from 1 species
UACGGAAGGCAGCAGUGGGAAGUAUUGUCACAACUGGCGAAAGCCUGAUGCAGCUAGUGCCGCGUGUAUGAAGAAGGCCUUAGGGUUGUAAAGUACUUUCAUCGGGGAGGAAAAACAAAACUAAUAAUUUUAUUUCUUGACGUUACCCGAAAAAGAAGCACCGGCUAACUCCGUGCCAGCAGCCGCGGUAAUACGGAGGGUGCUAGCGUUAAUCAGAAUUACUGGGCGUAAAGAGCACGUAGGUGGUUUUUUUAAGUCAGAUGUGAAAUCCCUGGGCUUAACCUAGGAACUGCAUUUUGAAACUGAAAUACUAGAGUAUCGUAGAGGGAGGUAGAAUUCUAGGUGUAGCGGUGAAAUGCGUAGAUAUCUGGAGGAAUACCUGUGGCGAAAGCGGCCUCCUAAACGAAUACUGACACUGAGGUGCGAAAGCGUGGGGAGCAAACGAGGGAUUAGAUACC